GAUGGAAAGUGGGCUUAAAGAAGCCAUCUUUUUAGAGUGGGUUAAUCCUCAGUAUUCCUAGUUAAUGAUCAAAUGAAGUUCCUUUUGUUCAACAAAACUUCUUCACGAAACUAAGGGGUGAAGGUAAUAAUGUAAAGAUGAGUAGCUCAGUUUUUGGGGUUUAUUUGGUUCAGGAAAUUAAACGCUAAGUGAACGAUGACGAUAAGCAAAGCUAAAGGAACUCGGCAACAACGAAAACCGCCUGUUUAGCAAAAACAUGGCUCCUUGAAAUCAUAAGGAGUCGUGCCUUCCCGGUGAGUUUAAACUUAAACGGAUGCGGUAAAGCGUGCUAAGGUAGCUAAGUUAUGGCCUAGUUAAUUGUAGGCCCUGUGAAUGGUUUGACGAGUUUUCUUCUGUCUCUAGCUUGUUUUAGUGAACUUGAAUUGGAUGUGCAAAUGCUUCCUUGCGAAAGAAAGACGAGAAGACCCCGUGAAGUUAGAAAUCUAUGUGCGUGGAGGUAGAAGGUUACUUCCCUUAGCUUAUGGUUUUGG
rnacentral:rRNA from 1 species